GUCCAGACUCCUACGGGAGGCAGCAGUGGGGAAUAUUGCACAAUGGGGGAAACCCUGAUGCAGCAACGCCGCGUGAGUGAAGAAGUAUUUCGGUAUGUAAAGCUCUAUCAGCAGGGAAGAGAAUGACGGUACCUGACUAAGAAGCCCCGGCUAACUACGUGCCAGCAGCCGCGGUAAUACGUAGGGGGCGAGCGUUAUCCGGAUUUACUGGGUGUAAAGGGAGCGUAGACGGCUGGUCAAGUCUGAAGUGAAAGCCCGGGGCUUAACCCCGGAACGGCUUUGGAAACUGAGCAGCUAGAGUGCUGGAGAGGUAAGCGGAAUUCCUAGUGUAGCGGUGAAAUGCGUAGAUAUUAGGAGGAACACCAGUGGCGAAGGCGGCUUACUGGACAGUAACUGACGUUGAGGCUCGAAAGCGUGGGGAGCAAACAGGAUUAGAUACCCUGGUAC
rnacentral:rRNA from 1 species